rnacentral:misc_RNA from 1 species
GUAGGUGAACCUGCGGAAGGAUCAUUACAAAUCAGUGGGGUGUUGGGGGUGGUUGGGUUGUGUGGGCUGGAGUUUGUACGGUGAGUACGGUGAGUACUUGUACUUCUGGUACUUGUGCUUGUACUUUUGCUCCCCUGCCUGCCUGCUACCGCAUCCACACACACUCACACAUAUGUUCGAGACAUUCGUUUGUCUCGUGACACAUUUACGCUUGUCUUGUUUGUCAGAGUAGAUUGAUGGCUAAUAUAGA